rnacentral:tRNA from 1 species
AUUUAAAUAGCUUAAAUUUAGAGCAUAACAUUGAAGAUGUUAGGGUAAUAUAUCUUAUUUUUAAAUA